rnacentral:rRNA from 1 species
GAGUUUGAUCGUGGCUCAGAUUGAACGCUGGCGGCAUGCCUUACACAUGCAAGUCGAACGGCAGCAUGAUCUAGCUUGCUAGAUUGAUGGCGAGUGGCGAACGGGUGAGUAAUACAUCGGAACGUGCCCUGUAGUGGGGAUAACUAGUCGAAAGAUUAGCUAAUACCGCAUACGACCUGAGGGUGAAAGUGGGGGACCGCAAGGCCUCAUGCUAUAGGAGCGGCCGAUGUCUGAUUAGCUAGUUGGUGAGGUAAAGGCUCACCAAGGCGACGAUCAGUAGCUGGUCUGAGAGGACGAUCAGCCACGCUGGGACUGAGACACGGCCCAGACUCCUACGGGAGGCAGCAGUGGGGAAUUUGGACAAUGGCGAAAGCCUGAUCCAGCAAUGCCGCGUGUGUGAAGAAGG